GUACGCUAUUCAGAGUUUGAUCCUGGCUCAGGAUGAACGCUAGCGGCAGGCUUAACACAUGCAAGUCGAGGGGCAGCAUGAGACGGAGAUUCGUCAAAGUCUUGAUGGCGACCGGCGCAAGGGUGCGUAACGCGUGAGCAACUUGCCCGUUUCAGGGGGAUAACCGGUGGAAACGCCGACUAAUACCCCAUAGUAUCACUUUAAGGCAUCUUUUAGUGAUUAAAGAAUUUCGGAAACGGAUAGGCUCGCGUGACAUUAGCUAGAUGGUGAGGUAACGGCUCACCAUGGCGACGAUGUCUAGGGGUUCUGAGAGGAAGGUCCCCCACACUGGAACUGAGACACGGUCCAG
rnacentral:rRNA from 1 species